rnacentral:lncRNA from 1 species
AGGAUGCUAGGACUUGCAUUGUAGAGCCUUAGUUUUCUCUAGCAUUCUAUUUUUGUUAUAUGUGUAUGCUAUACUUUUUGAACUUUUAGAUGUUUAUUAUCAUUGUAAACAUCUUUAGAAAGUAAUGAAAAGGAGAAUUUUUGAAAAUUUAGUCUCUACUUGAAUGAAUGCAAUAUUGAUUGCUAUUGAUGCUUACCCUUCUAAAUUAUGCU